UCGGGAAUAUUGCGCAAUGGAGGAAACUCUGACGCAGUGACGCCGCGUAUAGGAAGAAGGUUUUCGGAUUGUAAACUAUUUUAGACAGGGAAGAAAAAAGACAGUACCUGUAAAAUAAGCUCCGGCUAACUACGUGCCAGCAGCCGCGGUAAUACGUAGGGAGCAAGCGUUAUCCGGAUUUAUUGGGUUUAAAGGGUGCGUAGGCGGCACCGUAAGUUAGUGGUUAAAUCGUUCGGCUCAACCGGAUGUUGCCAUUAAAACUGCGGAGCUAGAGUACAGAUGAGGUAGGCGGAAUAAGUUAAGUAGCGGUGAAAUGCAUAGAUAUUAGGAGGAACACCAGUGGCGAAGGCGGCUUACUGGACUGUAACUGACACUGAGGUACGAAAGCGUGGGGAGCAAACA
rnacentral:rRNA from 1 species